rnacentral:rRNA from 1 species
UACGAAGGGGGCUAGCGUUGCUCGGAAUUACUGGGCGUAAAGCGCACGUAGGCGGAUCUUUAAGUCAGGGGUGAAAUCCUGGAGCUCAACUCCAGAACUGCCUUUGAUACUGAGGGUCUUGAGUUCGGGAGAGGUGAGUGGAACUGCGAGUGUAGAGGUGAAAUUCGUAGAUAUUCGCAAGAACACCAGUGGCGAAGGCGGCUCUCUGGGACGGUACUGACGCUGAGACGCGAAAGCGUGGGGAGCGAACAGG